rnacentral:rRNA from 1 species
CGGACGGGUGAGUAAUGUCUGGGAAACUGCCUGAUGGAGGGGGAUAACUACUGGAAACGAUAGCUAAUACCGCAUAACGUCGCAAGACCAAAGAGGGGGACCUUCGGGCCUCUUGCCAUCGGAUGUGCCCAGAUGGGAUUAGCUAGUAGGUCGGGUAACGGCUCACCUAGGCGACGAUCCCUAGCUGGUCUGAGAGGAUGACCAGCCACACUGGAACUGAGACACGGUCCAGACUCCUACGGGAGGCAGCAUG